UGCAGAAAGACCCCAGGCUGGGAAUCAAACCCAGGACCUUCUUGCUGCAAGGCAACAGUGCUACCAACUGCGCCACCGUGCAGCCCUGUUGCAGCAACUGUUCAGAUUAUUUAACAUUUUUAAUCAUAGUUCUGACAGUAGUUUAGAUGAGUAGCAUUUUGUUAGCUAUUUUCUGCUGUGAAGAUCGAUACAAUCUGUCUUACUUAAAUUGCAUGUUCUCUUGUCUUGCCCAUUUUGAAGAGAGGCUAUAAGAAUUGAACCACUGUAUCAAAUCGUGUUUAUAGCGCAGGCAACAUAAAGUCAUGAGCUACUAAUUAAACUUCCCAGACUCUGAUCAACUUACAGAAGUAAAGUUUAAAUUAGAUGUUUUUUCUCCCAAAGUUUAAAAGGUUUGAUGUUUCUAAAUUCUUCAGUAAAUGUAUUCUACUUCAACAACAAUUCACUAAUUCAGGACUUGUACACGUCUUUACCUGGUGUGCCAAUAAAUAUGGCUAAUGCAGAGUACAUUCAAAAGAUAUUUGUGUAAAAAUUCUUAUUUCCUACUGCUGAAAGGUUUUAAGAAUUUUAAAGGUUAAUAAAAAUAUUCAUAUCAUACAGCCUGAACUGAAAUGCUAAAAGCUCUCAAACUGCAGACUGUUUCCACAAGGUACUCUGCUGUUUUUUUCUCUCUAAAGGGAGUGGAAGCCAGUAGGUCGGCUCUUAUCAGUUAGGACUGCAGUAGUUCAUUAUGGAUCACUAGUAAAAUAUUUGCUUUGCUUAAAGUAUAGCUUUAUAAAUGUGUAUAACCUUGGGCCAAGCACAACCAGCAAUCCCAAAGGGAUGGUUUCCCUCACCAAGGUCAAUGUUUUAAAGGAAGUGAUGAUGCCUCAUGGUAAGCAUGCAAUAGCUGACUAAGUCACUCAUAAAUCUUUAAAAUAAUGCAAAUUGUGGAGCAGUUAUUACAGCCUGAAGGAAUGAAUUGCGAGGUUAAAUUUAAUUCAAGUGCAUAUUGUGAAAUAGAUUUAUUAACUGUUCACCCACCCUGUUGUACCUAUAACUGAACCUCUUUAGUGCUUUGUUUAAUUCUUCCAAAAAUCAGAUCAAUGUACAUGUAUGUUUGUUUCUUACAUAAAAUACUUUUUUUACUUAAAAAUACAAGGGUAGUGUUUUCAUUCUCAUUUUGUUAGAAACCAUUAUCUGAAUGCAUGCUCGAUAAUUCACUCAAUUAUUAGCCUUAGGUAACACAGAAGGAACCAUUUUGUGAACUUUUUUCAACUUCCAAAUUUCUCACAGUGUGUGUGUGUGUGUGAUACCCUGUAAAUGAUUGAUCUGCUGCCUUGUCACAAAGCCUUUAGUUCCUGGUUUCCGGGCUGAACUGUUUCCUUAUUUUUUAUUACACAUAGUGAACCAAAAAUUCUCCUUUUGUGUUAAAGUCUAAUAUCAAUAGAGGAAGCCUUAAAUUCUAAUUGCUAAUCUAAAGCUGCAUCUCAAUCAGCGAGAACAUAUUUGAAAGGUUUGUUUAUUUCAUUGGCUUAAUUCAAAAAGCAAAACUCAUGUUUGUUUCUCUUAAUUUGGAUGAUUAUGUCUUAUAGCUUAUAAAAACCCCAAAUUUAGUUUGUCAGGAAACUAGUAUAUUAUAUUAGCCCAAUGAAAAAUGUUUUUUAUGCUGCUGAUUUGUCUACUGUUUUGUAUGCAGUCACUGACACCCUUUUGAAAAGGAAAUUGUUAAAGAAGAUGCCGGAAACUCAAUGGUGUAUCCAAUAAUAUUAAUGGAAAGUUAAGUGGAAGGAAAAAAGGUGCACAAGAAGCUGGAAUAAUCCCAGCCUUUUGAGGACUGUGAAGUAAUCAGAGCUUAAGCUGCAACCAUACACAGGCAUACCCAGGACAUGGACUACAACAGUUGUUUUCUUUGUGUUAAGCCACUACUGAACGGGAGACAAAGUUAGAAGCGUCUUACUUGGAAUUAGCGACUGAACUUUUACUCAGUAGUCCAAUGUCCUCUUUCCAGAUAAAGGAAAUGUUUGCAUUUAAUGUGAAAAUUGAGGUCCCAGAAUCUGGAGGAAGAGCGGAGAAGCACAGAAUCCACAUUGCUUGAGGUCCAGUUUCCACAUUGAUUUUGUGAGAACUGCUGCUGUUGGUCCACUGUGUCUUUAUCAAGUCCACAGUCAACUCAACCGUCUAUCAGGACAUUUUACAGCACUUUACUUCACCUGCCUUGCCCACUGAUGGUGGUCAGUGGGCCCGGUGGCGCCAAUUGUAUGGCCCCACUUUUGUGAGUUUGCCCCAGGGCAGCUGUGGCUACAAUGUAGCUUACCACAGUGUGUGAAUAGGUGGAUGACUGAUUGUAGUGUAAAGUGCUUUGGUGUCCUUUUGCCAUACAUUGCAGUAAGCUCACAUUUAGGCUUUUAAGAACCUGCUUUUUUCAUUUGAGGAACAUCACAAAACCUAAAUCAUGAUGUCAAGUGAAGUUGAGAUGAUAAUUUAUGCUUUCUUGGCAUAAAACCUGGCUUGUUUUCAGGUUGUCCAAAACUCUGCUGCAAGACCACCGUCUCAUUCAGAGGAACUCAUUUAACACCUGUUUAAAAAUCGCUACACAGGCUGCCAAUCAGACCUUGAGACCGAUGUUUCCAAGCUGUCCACAACAGCCGAUCUGCCUCUGGAGCCUAGUCUCUGUAAACACUUUUAAAAAAGUAUCUAAAGACAUUUUUAUUCCAUGAGUUUUUAUUAAAUGUAUUUAUGAUUGCAUCGUUUUCUGUAUUACACAUUGCUGUUUAUUUUGUUCGGUUACUCUUAUUGUGAAGUUUUUUGUUGCAUCGGUCAUUGAAAAUGUGCUAAAUAAAUUAACGUUGUGAUUUCUUA